UACGUAGGGUGCGAGCGUUGUCCGGAAUUAUUGGGCGUAAAGGGCUCGUAGGCGGUUUGUCGCGUCGGGAGUGAAAACACCGGGCUUAACUCGGUGCUUGCUUUCGAUACGGGCAGACUAGAGGCAUGCAGGGGAGAACGGAAUUCCUGGUGUAGCGGUGAAAUGCGCAGAUAUCAGGAGGAACACCGGUGGCGAAGGCGGUUCUCUGGGCAUGUCCUGACGCUGGGGAGCGAAAGUGUGGGGAGCGAACAGG
rnacentral:rRNA from 1 species